rnacentral:tRNA from 1 species
GGGACUGACGGGGCUCGAACCCGCAGCU